CAUCAAUAGGGUGGUCUGUGCUAUGUGAUUGCAUUGUUACUGCUGGAGUGAGCAAUUUCAGAUUGCGUCAUGAUGGCGUGCCCCGUUAGCGUCGUGAUCGGCGUGCCCUGUUAGCGUCAUGGUUGGCGUGCCCUGUGUUAGCGUCAUGAUUGGCGUGCCCUGUGUUAACACGAUAUGUUUUAUUUAUUCGUGUGCUGUGAUUUCAACACCAGCAUUGGUCAGAGGAGACUCGCAAGCAGCAAGGAAAGGAGGAAAGGAGGCUGCUCUUCAUCAGCCAGAAGUUUGAUACAAAGGAGUACACAAGUUGAUUUCAUUACUUAUAAGCAAAGUCAAUUUUUUGGAUAUAGAUGGGCAGCAAUUUUAUCGAGCCAUGACAUCUGAUUUCUGUUAUCCUGCUUAUGGUGACCUGUCACUUGAUGAUAAGCCAAACCUAAGUUGCCUCUAGGAAUUAUGAAUGUCAAAUUUGGGACACAGCUGUGCAGUUUUUUUAUCGAGUUCUGACAUCUGAGUAUGAUUUAAUUAUUUAAUUUUCUUAGAGUUUACUUUAUUAAUUGGUCGAAACCCUAUGCUUCUGUUGCUAUACUCCAUGCCU
rnacentral:lncRNA from 1 species